rnacentral:rRNA from 1 species
AACAGUUGGAACGACUGCUAAUACCCGAUGUGCCGAGAGGUGAAAGAUUUGUCGUCUGAAGAAGGGCUCGCGGCUGAUUAGCUAGUUGGUAGGGUAAAGGCUUACCAAGGCAACGAUCAGUAACUGGUCUGAGAGGAUGAGCAGUCACACUGGAACUGAGAAACGGUCCAGACUCCUACGGGAGGCAGCAGUGGGGAAUUUUCCGCAAUGGGCGAAAGCCUGACGGAGCAAUACCGCGUGAGGGAGGAAGGUUCUUGGAUUGUAAACCUCUUUUAUCAGGGAAUAAAAAUGAAGGUACCUGAUGAAUAAGCAUCGGCUAACUCCGUGCCAGCAGCCGCGGUAAUACGGAGGAUGCAAGCGUUAUCCGGAAUUAUUGGGCGUAAAGAGUCCGUAGGUGGAAGUUCAAGUCUGUCGUUAAAGAAUGGAGCUUAACUCCAUAGAGGCGGUGGAAACUGAACAACUAGAGUGCGGUAGGGGUAACGGGAAUUCCCAGUGUAGCGGUGAAAUGCGUAGAUAUUGGGAAGAACAUCGGUGGCGAAAGCGCGUUACUGGGCCGAAACUGACACUGAGGGACGAAAGCUAGGGUAGCGAAAGGGAUUAGAUAC